CGACGCGUCGAAUUGGUUGUGAAUUAUGUUGCAUUUCUUAUACAUAUCACAGCCAUUUUGACGAGUUCGA
rnacentral:pre_miRNA from 2 species